rnacentral:rRNA from 1 species
AGAGUUUGAUCCUGGCUCAGAAUGAACGCUGGCGGCGUGCCUAACACAUGCAAGUCGAGCGGUAAGGCCCCUUCGGGGGUACACGAGCGGCGAACGGGUGAGUAACGCGUGGGUAACCUACCCGGAAGUGGGGGAUAGCCUCGGGAAACCGAGGGUAAUACCGCAUGAGCAUCAGAUUACGUCGGCGAUUUGAUGGAAAGGCGGGGAUCUUCGGACCUGUCGCUUCCGGAUGGGCCCGCAUCCGAUUAGCUUGUUGGUGAGGUAAUGGCUCACCAAGGCUUCGAUCGGUAGCCGGCCUGAGAGGGUGAUCGGCCACAUUGGGACUGAGACACGGCCCAGACUCCUACGGGAGGCAGCAGUGGGGAAUUUUGGGCAAUGGGGGAAACCCUGACCCAGCGACGCCGCGUGGAGGAUGACGGCCUUCGGGUUGUAACUCCUGUCAGGUGGGAAGAAGGCUUUAUCGGUCAAUAUCCGGUAGAGAUUGACGGUACCACCAAAGGAAGCCCCGGCUAACUCCGUGCCAGCAGCCGCGGUAAUACGGAGGGGGCAAGCGUUAUUCGGAUUUACUGGGCGUAAAGCGCACGUAGGUGGCAAGGUAAGUCACAGGUGAAAGCCCUCGGCUCAACCGAGGAAUUGCCUUUGAAACUGCCUUGCUUGAGUCCGGGAGGGGGGAGCGGAAUUCCCAGUGUAGCGGUGAAAUGCUGUAGAUACUGGGAGGAACACCGGUGGCGAAGGCGGCUCCCUGGACCGGUACUGACGCUGAGGUGCGAAAGCGUGGGUAGCAAACAGGAUUAGAUACCCUGGUAGUCCACGCCGUAAACGCUGGGCACUAGGUGCAGCGGGUGUCGACCCCUGCUGUGCCGAAGCAACGCAUUAAGUGCCCCGCCUGGGGAGUACGGUCGCAAGGCUGAAACUCAAAGAAUUGACGGGGGCCCGCACAACCGGUGGA